rnacentral:rRNA from 1 species
UUAGGAAUAUUCGUCAAUGGAGGAAACUCUGAACGAGCAAUGCCGCGUGAGCGAUGAAGGCCCUAUGGGUCGUAAAGCUCUGUUGUGAAGGAAGAAUGAUUGAUAUAGGGAAUGAUAUCAAAGUGACGGUACUUCACCAGAAAGCCCCGGCUAACUACGUGCCAGCAGCCGCGGUAAUACGUAGGGGGCGAGCGUUAUCCGGAUUUAUUGGGCGUAAAGCGUGUGUAGGCGGUUUAUUAAGUAUAAGAUCAAAGCCUGGAGCUCAACUCCAGUAAGUCUUAUAAACUGGUAGACUAGAGUAUGGUAGAGGCAAGUGGAAUUUCUAGUGUAGCGGUAAAAUGCGUAGAUAUUAGAAGGAACACCAGUGGCGAAGGCGGCUUGCUGGGCCAGAACUGACGCUGAGACACGAAAGCGUGGGGAGCAAAUAGG